rnacentral:sRNA from 12 species
UGUAGUCGGUGUCCGUGGAACGGAGUUCCAUAUUAGGAUGACACCGACGACCUGCCGCUGAGCGUAUGCGAGGGGGCAAUACCAACU